rnacentral:tRNA from 1 species
AUUUAACAUCCUAAAAGGGGAUUGCGUUUCGACCGCUGUCUUGGAACGUUGAGUUCCUGUUAAAUA